rnacentral:lncRNA from 1 species
UCCAAAUGCACUUAGAGAAAUGUACAUAAGUGUGAGAAAUCACCAUUAAGUACACUUAAAUCUACACAUUGACUAGUUCUAGCUGAAUUUCUAGUUUAUGAAAAGGUAUUAAUGUUUCUAGUUUAUGAAAAGGUAAUGAGGAAAACUUUCUUUAAAAGAUGUGUUUAACAGCCAAAUCAGAUAUACUGAACAGACAUAAAAAAGUAACAAUAUUUUUUUCACCUCAG